CUGCAUGCAGAGCCAUGUUGCAGUCGAACAGGAAACAGCAGAAGGCUUUGGGAAUGAAACGAGGUCAUGUACCCUAAAAACUCUUACAAUGACAAAAACAUUCAAAAAAACAAUGCAGCAAUGUAAAGGCAUAAAUGAAAAGGUAAACAGUGACAAACAUUUAUAGAAUAAACUAGAGACAGAAAAACGGGAACCGAUAGACAAUGAGAGAGACAGGGGCAGACCUUGCCACCGCAAGUCUGGUCAAAAAAAUGUUUCCUGUUUGCACUCUUUCAGUUUAUGCAUCAGACAGAUUUGGAAAUAACAUUUCUUUCAUCAAACACAGCUGACCUAACUUUCUGGUUUUAAUUCUUUUAAUUUUUUUGGUGACAUCUGUUGGUUAUUUGAUGGUGUUAAUCAGAGUAGUAUAACAAUGAUAGCACUCCUAAUUUUGCUGUUUGGACUCUUCACGUCAGGAUCAUGUGGUCUAAAUGACACAAAAGCAUUAGUGGGGCAGAAUGUGAAUCUGUCCUGCAUUAUAGAGCGUGUACAAGCAAACAUCGUCCAGAUCCAGUGGAGUCGUAGGAUGGGUGGAGAGGAUGUGAAGUUGUUUGUGUAUAACCCAUCAAUGGGGCAAUACACCUACACAAAUGACGAUAAAUUUACAAUGACGGCAUUCAAAACCACUCAUAAUGGCCAACUUAGGGGCUCUUAUUUGGGCAUAGCACAAGUGGAGUCGAAUUACAGUGGAGAGUACAUCUGCGAAAUCACUACCUUCCCUUCUGGUUCCAUUCUCAAGAAAAUUAACCUGGAUGUCAAAGAAAUGAAUCUUGGGAUAAUCCCGGUUGGGGUUAUUGUAGAAGGGGAUAAUGUGACAAUCAGGUGCAACAGCAAGCCUCCUGCUGACCGUUACAAACUUUUGUCGACUAAGAUUGAAAACAAAGUUAUGCAGAAUCAAGAUGGUGUUUUUGUAAUUCCCAACAUUAGGAGACAUGACAGCGGUCUGUAUAUCUGCCAUUCAGAAUUGGAAUCAUUACAUCAAAAUGCAACAAUACAAAUUUCAGUUAACUAUCUUGAUCAAAUUAAAUGCAAUGUGGGGAGAUAUAUUGACCUUCAUCUUGGCCAGAAUUUGAGUAUUGCAUGCACUGCCAGUGCUUCACAGAAUGUGGAGUACAUAUGGACUAAGGAUGGUGUCAACGUGUCGCAUGUGCCCUCCAUCUCCCUGAGAUCUGUGAACAGCACUCAGGCUGGACUGUACAAGCUCACGGCAUACAUCAGCGGCCUUCACAGUCUUCUCCAGCAACUGCAGCUUAACAUCACAGUCAGAUCAUUGGAUCACACCGCGACAGCAUCCACCUCUGUGGCCACCACCACUAUGACAUAUCCCUCCAACAGCAGAACUAAAGUCACCACAGUGGUGAAUGAACAGGAUGGUUCCUUGUCCGGUUCCACAUCACCGCAGCCAACUGCAUCAUUUUCAACACGACCGGGAAACCACUCAGAUUCAGGACAGCCCACCACCAACAUUACCGUAUCGGUACAUUUUAUAACAAGUACCAUCCUGCUUACUAAAUUUCAACAACAACCCCAAGAGAUACUUAUAACAGAUGCCAGCAGUGGGGAGCAUUUGCUAUGGAUCUUUCUGCCCCUUCUUCUUUUAUUGGUAGUUGUGGGAUUUCUUUCCUUCAGGUAUAUCAGGAAGAAGAGGAUGGAUCUGCCGCCACCUUUCAAGCCUCCCCCUCCUCCUGUGAAGUAUACUUCUGUGGUGUGUCAGGAAGUGAGAGGAUCUGAUCCAAUAUGA
ensembl:lncRNA CD166 antigen homolog